GAGAGAAGAGCUGACACAGUAUUGGUCCUGCAGUGACAAAAUAACUUCUGAUGGAAAAAGAUUAUGGUGACAACCGAGCUACAGCAACAGAACUGCGAAUGAAAAAUUCUGAAAUUCUGCAAAUCAAGUAAAGGUUUGGUGCAAACAAAAGGGAAACGCUAUGUAGUUUGAACGCAAACCUCCAUCACACAGCCUUGGACCAAAGCAAUAUUCCAAAUACGAGCGACCUAAGGAAACGUCGAGGACUAAGCUACGAAACGAAGGAUUUGAAGAGCACUCUGUCCUGGCUGGCACCCCGAUCGAGCCCGUUAAGGAUUCAAACUGCUAAACAGUGAAUAAAGCAAGAUAUCAAGAACGAUGUUUCCCCUCAAUCAGAACUUACCAGUGACCCCGGGUGUGUGGACGAAGACAUGAAGCCACUUUGCUGUCCAGAUCUACUGUUACAGUUCAACUGUCUGCCUUCUGAACCCUCACGGACUCUCGUUCCGGAACAUGGCUAUUUAUGAGCAACUUCAAUUGUCAAAGAUCCGAGUGGUCUUGUGAGACGAUCUCUAUUUGAGGAGCUCUGAACCUCUGAACCCCAUCAAGGAAGGCAUUUGGCAUUCUGGCCGUGUAAUGCACUGAAUAGCACGAGCGAUGAACUUCUUAUAUAGCGUUAAUACAGAGCUGAAAAUAG